rnacentral:lncRNA from 1 species
CUUACUCCGGCCUCAAGAAGAGAGGGCAGUCUAGUCGUUCAUGGGUCAAGAUUGAUGAGAAUGGGAACUCGACGGUUUUGGAGCUGGACAAGGCAACUAUAAUGAAGCGCUGUUCCUUACCUUCAAGGGAUUUGAGGCUUCUGGAUCCUUUGUUUAUUUACCCCUCGAGUAUCUUGGGGCGUGAAAGAGCCAUAGUGGUCAGCCUUGAGAAGAUUAGAUGUAUAAUCACUGCUGAGGAGGUUAUUCUCAUGAAUGCUAGGGAUGCGUCUGUUGUUCAGUACCAGUCUGAACUCUGUAAACGCCUCCAGUCUAACCAAAACUUGAAUCUCAAAGGUCAGUUGAUUUUUUUUUUUUAUAUUAGCUUUGGUGGUUUGGAGUUAUGAUAGUUGUUAGAUUGCUGAUAACAUAAAGAACUGUUGGUUUCAGAUGAUUUGCCUUUUGAGUUUAAAGCGUUGGAGCUGGUUUUGGAAUUAUCUUGCUUGUCUUUAGAUGCACAGGUAUGCCACCAUUUGCCUCUAACGUCAUUCUGCAAGAUAGUUGUUGUAACUACAAAAAGCUUUUGGUGGAUUUGAUUUUGAAUAGGUGAAUGAGUUAGAGAUGGAGGUGUAUCCUGUUCUUGAUGAACUAGCCACAAACAUCAGCACACUUAAUCUAGAACACGUAAGGAGGUUAAAAGGUCGUCUCCUUGCCUUAACACAGAAAGUUCAGAAGGUAAACACACAAAGAACCCUUCAAAAUUUAGAAAAAUCGGCACCAUACAUUUUGAUUUUGAGGGUUUCUUAAAUCUUGCAGGUUUGUGAUGAAAUAGAACAUUUAAUGGAUGAUGAUGAUGACAUGGCUGAGAUGUAUUUGACUGAGAAGAAAGAAAGAUCAGAGGCUCAUGCUUCAGUGGAGUUAGAAGAUAACCUAGAUGACGAUUUUGGAUCUUCAGGAAUAGUUUCCAAGUCUGCGCCGGUUUCACCUGUGGGUUCAACUAGUGGAAACCUUGGGAAGCUUCAAAGAGCCUUUAGUAGUGUGGUUGGCUCACACAGAAGCUUGUUAAGCUCAUCUAGCAGCGGAGAGAACAUCGACCAACUAGAGAUGUUGCUAGAAGCCUACUUCGUCGUUGUUGAUAACACACUCAGCAAACUAUCAUCGGUUAGAUUCUUACAUUUGUUACAGAGAGAUGUUUUAUUUCUAUUCACCGUUUUGAUUUAUGAUCUUGUGUUUGCAGCUGAAAGAGUAUAUUGAUGAUACAGAGGAUCUGAUCAACAUUAAGCUGGUAACAACAGACAAAACCAAGCUUUGUCUAUUUUGCUCUUGUUUCAUCUUAACUUCUCUAGAGUCUCUGACUUUGUGUCCAUGAUUCUUUCUUAGGCGAAUGUACAGAAUCAGUUGAUUCAGUUUCAACUGCUUCUCACCGCAGCAACCUUUGUGGCAGCCAUUUUCGCAGCUGUAACAGCGGUUUUCGGGAUGAACCUGCAAGACUCUGUUUUCAAAGAUCCGACCAUGUUCCAGUGGGUUUUGCUUGUAACAGGUAUUGGAUGUGGACUUUUGUAUUUUGGUUUUGUGUUAUACUUCAAGCACAAGAAAGUAUUCCCUCUCUAAUACUCUUUUUUUUUUUGUUAGUGAGACUUGAGUUACUAUUGUAAUAAUUUUCAUUGUCAAACUCAGUUUAGGCUUAGUCCAAGAUUUGGGUAUUGAAAAGUGAUGAUAAAAGCCAAGGAAUUGUAGAGCAUUACAUAUGAAAUCUAAUCAAUUAAAGAAGUUCGAAACUUAUAAGUCAAAAGGCAUUGUCAAUGGCCAGAACCAAAGCAUGUUCAACCCCAUACCUGUCGACAGCUCAAGAAAACGUAUGAACUGGGAACGGGAAGCACAACGCUAGCCCAUUCAACGUGUCCCCAAACAUCAUCACCACCACCCUCUCUUUCAAGCGCAAUCACCGAGCACCAAAUGUUCUUGUUUUCACCCUGGCCAGGCUUGUCCCACAAGAUUAAGAGUUUCCCACAGUAGUUAGCUACUGCAAGAGCACCAGCACAACCAUUCCUAUUCAAUACCUCCAAGCCUUUGACCAUUCUCCAGUUUUGAAGCUUUGUGUCAAACCACGAGACGGUUUUAAAAAACACCGGUAUCACACUUUUGAUCUCCUAUAGUUCGGUCUAUGUUAGAAACCGAGUUCCAUCCAGGAGAUAGUCUCCACGUGGCUUGAUAUACGUUUGUCUUUCGUCUCUGGUUAAAAAGAAAGGAAGGCGUUGUUACUGUGUAAAGUAAAACAGAGGAAGUAAUUGCUCUUCAUCUUCUGCUGCUUCUGCUUGGGGAAACUGAAAUAGAUUCUAAACGAAAGGUGAAGCUCUCAUUUUUUUCUGGAAUCUUAGGUUUGGUUUCGUUACUUUCAUGAAUUGUUACUUUGUUUGAUCGUAUGGAUUUGAGAAUAUCGACCUAAUUGAUCGCCGGCGAUUGGUAAUUCGAUAGUCUUAAAGGAUCGGUUUCUUCGAAUUUUUAGAAAUUUUGCUACUGAAUUUGAUCAUCCUUUACUGUAAAUUUUGUGGCUUUUCUUCAUUUCUCGAUUAGCAACUCAAUACCCAGUUAUUCAAAUCUAGAUUGAUUUGGGAAUUUUAGAGGGUUCACAAAGGUUAGGUUCUUGAUGAUCAACGCAGUUUCUGGUAGAAAUGUUCACUACUAAGUUUUAGAAGGCUUUUUUUGUGCUCUCAAUCUCUUUGUUAACUCCUCGGAGAGAGAGAGAGCAGUUGAAUGAGAUGAGCUUACAUGGUUGCUAAAUAGAUUUCGAUUUCAUCUCAAAACUGUUGUUUUCAGGUUGCAAAUCUGUAGCUUUGCAGUAGUUUGCUUAUGAUACAUCAACCUUUGCAGUAAUCUGUGAGCAAGAACUGAUAUAGAAGCAUGGGAGAACAACCUGAUCCGUUCUCCGCUUCUACUCUACCGGAUUUCAUAUCUUCCCAAAAGAUUGGUAGACCGGUUACUCUCGAAGGCCAAAGCAACCGUGGCCAUCCUUACUCCGGCCUCAAGAAGAGAGGGCAGUCUAGUCGUUCAUGGGUCAAGAUUGAUGAGAAUGGGAACUCGACGGUUUUGGAGCUGGACAAGGCAACUAUAAUGAAGCGCUGUUCCUUACCUUCAAGGGAUUUGAGGCUUCUGGAUCCUUUGUUUAUUUACCCCUCGAGUAUCUUGGGGCGUGAAAGAGCCAUAGUGGUCA